rnacentral:tRNA from 1 species
GGGGGUGUAGCUCAUCUGGUAGAGCGCGUGCUUAGCAUCCAUCUAAGAGUUAUCAUAAGAUACAUGUUACCUGCACGAGGUACUGGGUUCGACUCCCAGCUCCUCCA